AUUGAACGCUGGCGGCAUGCUUUACACAUGCAAGUCGAACGGUAACAGGUUAAGCUGACGAGUGACGAACGGGUGAGUAAUGCAUCGGAACGUGCCCGAUCGUGGGGGAUAACGCAGCGAAAGCUGCGCUAAUACCGCAUACGAUCUGAGGAUGAAAGCGGGGGACCGUAAGGCCUCGCGCGAUCGGAGCGGCCGAUGUCAGAUUAGGUAGUUGGUGGGGUAAAGGCCCACCAAGCCGACGAUCUGUAGCGGGUCUGAGGGGACGACCAGCCACACUGGGACUGAGACACGGCCAAGACUCCUACGGGAGGCAGCAGUGGGGAAUUUUGGACAAUGGGCGAAAGCCUGAUCCAGCAAUGCCGCGUGCAGGAAGAAGGCCUUCGGGUUGUAAACUGCUUUUGUACGGAGCGAAAAGGUCCUUUCUAAUACAAGGGGCUCAUGACGGUACCGUAAGAAUAAGCACCGGCUAACUACGUGCCAGCAGCCGCGGUAA
rnacentral:rRNA from 1 species